rnacentral:lncRNA from 1 species
UGGCCGAGACGGAGCGCGACGUCGUGGGGGCGGCGGCGAGGCGGCUGCGCGACGGGACGGGCGGCGGCGGCGGGGGUGGUGGCUCUGCGCGAGGAGAGGUGUGUUAUGCGUAACACCCCCGCUAUGGGCUGCCACCGUUUGCUUCGUAACCUAGGCCUGGGCUACAAGAUGGGCCUCUUAUUGCGUCCUCGGAGGCCCGGUCCCACACGAUUGCCU